rnacentral:lncRNA from 1 species
GCACAAUCAUGAAUUUCUUCGCAUUUCCCUAAACAUCUUUGUUUGCAUUGUGCUAUACAAUGUAUGUUUCUAGAUCUUCUUAUCAUUACAGCAUUGGCUACAUAUUUAUCAUCGGUUUGCAUGAAUGGUUGUAGAGGCUUCGUUUUGUCAUGGCAAUUACCAAUUAUCAUUAUUUCUCUUUAUUCUUUAAUUUUCUGCUUUAUAUUCUCUUUUCAGCUUGUCAUUGCCUCGAACUCGUCUUAACGUCUUAACUCUAGCCAAUGCAAAACCACUUAUUGCAUUAAUGCGCAUUACUAAUUGCAAUAUGUUAAACAAACCUUUAUAUGUUUUUGAAGGUUAAUGCGUUCCCAAUCACUGUUAUGUUUGGUAUGUGCUUGAUCUUCCUCUUUGUUGCAUCCAUUCUGCAGAGACGGCUCCUCGCCAUUGUAGAGAAACCAAGUGAGUAUAGUGUAUCUAUAGUUAAACUUUAAUGCCAUCAAAGUCAGGACUAUGAUCCAGUUGUUUAAAUCUCAGCAUCCUUUUGGAAGUUAAUAAUCAGCACCUUAACUAAUAAAUUUCGACCCUUUCUAUUUAUUUCGUUUAUAGAGACAGAAGAUUGGACUAUGCUGAAGGAAAAGAAUUUCGAGGCUGAGCUACUAUAUGUUCCUUGAUAACAUUAGGCCCUAUUUGUGCCCCAUUAAUUUGAAGAACUAUAUUAUGGAAUAGUGAUUGAUGGAGAAUGUGUGGUUAAAAAAAAGGAAAAGUUUUUUAUUUUC